AUCUAUUAGUAUUUAUGUCUUACUCUGUAUGUGUUUUGAGGUGAACAGCUAAGGAAGGAAUAUCUUGUCUCUUUAUUGAUUUAUAGCUUUAGAUGGCAGACAUAAAUUCUGGUUCCAAGUUCAUUUAAUGUUAUGUGUCUUGUUUUGGCAUCAGCUGGACCUUAUCAUCCAGACUGCUUCCACAGUGGUGCAUGAAGCCCUGUCUGUAGGCUUCACUAACUCUUCCCAUCCCUCUCCCUCAGUCCCAGCACUGUCUGUAGGUCUAACUCUUCCCGUCUCUCUCCCUCAGUCCCAGCACUGUCUGUAGGUCUAACUCUUCCCGUCCCUCUCCCUCAGGCCCAGCACUGUCUGUAGGCUUCACUAACUCUUCCCGUCCCUCUCCCUCAGGCCCAGCACUGUCUGUAGGCUUCACUAACUCUUCCCGUCCCUCUCCCUCAGGCCCAGCACUGUCUGUAGGCUUCACUAACUCUUCCCGUCCCUCUCCCUCAGGCCCAGCACCGUCUGUAGGCUUCACUAACUCUUCCCAUCCCUCUCCCUCAGGCCCAGCACUGUCUGUAGGUCUAACUCUUCCUGUCCCUCUCCCUCAGGCCGAGCACUGUCUGUAGGUCUAACUCUUCCCGUCCCUCUCCCUCGGUCCCAGCACUGUCUGUAGGUCUAACUCUUCCCGUCUCUCUCCCUCAGUCCCAGCACUGUCUGUAGGUCUAACUCUUCCCGUCCCUCUCCCUCAGGCCCAGCACUGUCUGUAGGUCUAACUCUUCCCGUCUCUCUCCCUCAGGCCCAGCACUGUCUGUAGGUCUAACUCUUCCCGUCCCUCUCCCUCAGGCCCAGCACUGUCUGUAGGUCUAACUCUUCCCGUCCCUCUCCCUCAGGCCCAGCACUGUCUGUAGGCUUCACUAACUCUUCCCGUCCCUCUCCCUCAGGCCCAGCACUGUCUGUAGGCUUCACUAACUCUUCCCGUCCCUCUCCCUCAGUCCCAGCACUGUCUGUAGGCUUCACUAACUCUUCCCGUCUCUCUCCCUCAGGCCCAGCACUGUCUGUAGGUCUAACUCUUCCCGUCCCUCUCCCUCAGGCCCAGCACUGUCUGUAGGCUUCACUAACUCUUCCCGUCUCUCUC